rnacentral:rRNA from 1 species
AGGUGUGCUAAUACCGGAUACGCUGAUUUAUCAGGAAAGGUGGCCUCUUCAUGAAAGCUACUGUGCCGGGAGGAGCUUGCGUACCAUUAGCUAGUUGGUGGGGUAAUGGCCUACCAAGGCGACGAUGGUUAGCGGGUCUGAGAGGAUGAUCCGCCACACUGGAACUGGAACACGGACCAGACUCCUACGGGAGGCAGCAGUGAGGAAUAUUGCGCAAUGGGGGAAACCCUGACGCAGCGACGCCGCGUGGAUGAUGAAGGCCUUCGGGUCGUAAAAUCCUGUCAGAUGGAAAGAAAUGGUAUAUGCCUAAUAUGUGUAUACUUUGACGGUACCAUCAAAGGAAGCACCGGCUAACUCCGUGCCAGCAGCCGCGGUAAUACGGAGGGUGCAAGCGUUGUUCGGAAUUACUGGGCGUAAAGCGCGCGUAGGCGGCUUUUUAAGUCAGAUGUGAAAGUCCACGGCUCAACCGUGGAAGUGCAUUUGAUACUGGGAAGCUUGAGUACUGGAGGGGAUGGUGGAAUUCCCGGUGUAGAGGUGAAAUUCGUAGAUAUCGGGAGGAAUACCGGUGGCGAAGGCGACCAUCUGGCCAGAUACUGACGCUGAGGUGC